rfam:Felis catus isolate Cinnamon breed Abyssinian chromosome A3, whole genome shotgun sequence.
GCCUGGCUGGCUCAGUUGGUAAAGCAUGAAACUCUUGAUCUCAGGGUCAUGAGUUCAAGCGCCAUGUUGGGCA